rnacentral:rRNA from 1 species
UUGGAGGGCAAGUCUGGUGCCAGCAGCCGCGGUAAUUCCAGCUCCAAUAGCGUAUAUUAAAGUUGUUGCAGUUAAAAAGCUCGUAGUUGAACUUCGGGGUCUACCCAUUGGUCAGGCUUAAUUGUCUGCACUGGUGAGAUGGAUCUCUACCUUCUGAGGGACUUUCAUGCCAUUUAUUUGGUGUGAUGGGAAAUCAGGACUGUUACUUUGAAAAAAUUAGAGUGUUUAAAGCAGACUAUCGUCUGAAUACAUUAGCAUGGAAUAAUGAAAUAGGACGGACUGAUUCUAUUUCGUUGGUUUCUAGGAUCACCGUAAUGAUUAAUAGGGAUAGUUGGGGGCAUUAGUAUUCAAUUGUCAGAGGUGAAAUUCUUGGAUUUAUUGAAGACUAACUACUGCGAAAGCAUUUGCCAAGGAUGUUUUCAUUAGUCAAGAACGAAAGUUAGGGGAUCGAAGACGAUCAGAUACCGUCGUAGUCUUAACCAUAAACUAUGCCGACUAGGGAUCGGACGAAGUUAAUUUUAUAAUGACGCGUUCGGCGCCUUACGGGAAAC